UAUGGGCGGCAGCAGUAGGGAAUCUUCCACAAUGGAUGCAAGUCUGAUGGAGCAACGCCGCGUGAGUGAAGAAGGUUUUCGGAUCGUAAAGCUCUGUUGUUGGAGAAGAACGAUAAAGGUAGUGACUGGCCUUUAUCUGACGGUAAUCAACCAGAAAGUCACGGCUAACUAC
rnacentral:rRNA from 1 species